GACGAACGCUGGCGGCGUGCUUAACACAUGCAAGUCGAACGAAGAGCGAUGGAAGCUUGCUUCUAUCAAUCUUAGUGGCGAACGGGUGAGUAACGCGUAAUCAACCUGCCCUUCAGAGGGGGACAACAGUUGGAAACGACUGCUAAUACCGCAUACGAUCUAAUCUCGGCAUCGAGGAUAGAUGAAAGGUGGCCUCUACAUGUAAGCUAUCACUGAAGGAGGGGAUUGCGUCUGAUUAGCUAGUUGGAGGGGUAACGGCCCACCAAGGCGAUGAUCAGUAGCCGGUCUGAGAGGAUGAACGGCCACAUUGGGACUGAGACACGGCCCAGACUCCUACGGGAGGCAGCAGUGGGGAAUCUUCCGCAAUGGACGAAAGUCUGACGGAGCAACGCCGCGUGAGUGAUGACGGCCUGCGGGUCGUAAAGCUCUGUUAAUCGGGACGAAAGGCCUUCUUGCGAAUAGUAGAAGGAU
rnacentral:rRNA from 1 species